CACAGGAAUUGGAAAGCCAGAGUGCCAUUUUCCUAGGAGUUACCUGUUGUGGACGUUGAGUAACCAUUCCCUUCAAAUCCGUGGAAGUUUUAAAGAAAGACUCAACAACUUUCUAAACAGUGGAAAACCUGGUGCUUCGGGGAAAGCAACUCCUUGCCUUUCUGCCUCACUGGCUUCACAGAGUGAGGAAAGCCACUGUACUGACUGGUUUUAUGUCAACUUGACACAAACUAGAGUCACCCGAAAGGAGGGACCCUCAAUUAAGAAAAUGUUUCCAUAAGAUCCAGCUUGUGGGUGGGGCCACCCCUGGGCUGGUGGUCCAGAGUUCUAUCAGAAAGCAGGCCUGAACAAAGCAUGAUGAGCAAGCCAGUAAGCAGCCCUCCUCCGUGGUCUCUGCAUCAGCUCCUGCCUCCAGGCUCCUGCCCUGUUUGAGUUCUUGUCCUGACUUGUUUCAGUGAUGGACUACAACGUGGAAAUCCCUGUCUUCAGGUUAUAGUCCAGGAAGAUCCACCAACAUCCAAGUUGGAGACUCAAGAGAAAGCCACCCAUUGUAUCCUCUGGCAACCAUGAACAAAUUUUCUUCCCUGGCAUGCAGAGUUAUGGAAUCCUGAAGACAAUGGAAACAAAUGUCAUCUAGAAUCCCAGUAAAUAAACAUAUUUCUUUUAUUUCUUAAA